rnacentral:rRNA from 1 species
UUUUUUAAUAGCCGCAGAUUUCCUGUGCUAAGGUAGCAUAAUCAUUUGUUUUUUAAUUAAAAACUAGAAUGAAAGGUUUUACAUUUAAUUUCUUUAUUUAAUUUACCAAUUUAAACUUAUAUUAAAUAUAAAAAUAUAUUUUUACAAAAAAAAGACAACAAGACCCUAUUAAACUUUACUUUAGUUUAGCUGGGGCAGCUAAUUAAUUAAAAUUUUAAUUAUUUAUAGUUUUAAUAAAUGACCUUAUACAAAUAAAUUAUUUAAUCAAGUUACUAUAGGGAUAACAGCGUAAUCUUCUUCUAAAGCUCUUAUUUAAAAGAAAUUUUGCGACCUCGAUGUUGAAUUAUUAUUCCUAAAAAAAGAAAAAAUUUUUUAAGAAGGUCUGUUCGACCUUUAAACUAAUACAUGAU